rnacentral:rRNA from 1 species
AACGCAAAUUGCGCUCGACGCCUUCGGGUCAAGAGCAUGUCUGUUUCAGCGUCGGCUUUACACUCAAACCCCCUUUCCUUUAUGGAUGGGGGCGUUGGAUCUGACGGUCUGCGGCUUCGCGCUGGAGUCUGUUGAAAAGCAUCGGCUGUGGUGACCCAUGAAAGGGAAACCGGAUUGGUAGGUGACCUCACGGUUGCAAAGCCACCGGAGUCCUUGGAGUCGCUGCAGCCUGCAGGAAAGCAAGGAGCUGAAGCUUCUUUCAUUUCGACCUGAAAUCAGGCAAGACCACCCGCUGAACUUAA